rnacentral:rRNA from 1 species
AUUGAACGCUGGCGGCAGGCUUAACACAUGCAAGUCGAGCGGGGUGAUGGUGCUUGCACUAUCACUUAGCGGCGGACGGGUGAGUAAUGCUUAGGAAUCUGCCUAUUAGUGGGGGACAACAUCUCGAAAGGGAUGCUAAUACCGCAUACGUCCUACGGGAGAAAGCAGGGGAUCACUUGUGACCUUGCGCUAAUAGAUGAGCCUAAGUCGGAUUGGCUAGUUGGUGGGGUAAAGGCCUACCAAGGCGACGAUCUGUAGCGGGUCUGAGAGGAUGAGCCGCCACACUGGGACUGAGACACGGCCCAGACUCCUACGGGAGGCAGCAGUGGGGAAUAUUGGACAAUGGGGGGAACCCUGAUCCAGCCAUGCCGCGUGUGUGAAGAAGGCCUUAUGGUUGUAAAGCACUUUAAGCGAGGAGGAGGCUCUUUUGGUUAAUACCCAAGAUGAGUGGACGUUACUCGCAGAAUAAGCACCGGCUAACUCUGUGCCAGCCGCCGCGGUAA